UUAAAAGUGUUCAAAUGUAAG
rnacentral:piRNA from 1 species